rnacentral:sRNA from 1 species
CAGAUACAACAAAACAUAUACAGAUAUAUGGGAUAGGACGCACAGUUAGUAGAAACAAUAUUGCAAAUGUGUGUGCGGCACAAGGCGAAAGCAGUUGGCAAAAGUGUCGUAAAUCGUUUAGACGGCAAACGUGGCAAGCGCCCAGGACACGGACACAGGACACACUCACAGAUCCCUUGCCAGGACGAUAUGUAAACGACAAUGCCAGCGUGGGAAAAAAACACACAAACACACACACACACACUCACACGCAUACAUACAAACAAAUACAUAUAUAAAUGAAAGAAACUGCGAACGGAGCAACGCCACAGGAUGCUGCUUUCUGAUAGCGAAUGCUCCUUUGCACACAGUUCAUAUGCACAAAGUGCAGAAGAUGCAGUUAAGAAAUCAACAAUGAAAAUUUAAUAUAAAUGCUAAAAGGCCGAUGGGAUCCUGGCAAUAUUAAUUUACAUCAAAUAUAAAGAAAAUGACUGUGGACCUUGGAAUCUCUCUCUGACGUUGCAAAAGCCUCCCAAACAUAUUGUAAUUUAUUUCGUUUAAAAAUAAUAAAUAAAUUUUGUAUG